AAUCUCCUGUUAAUAGCGUUUUAAGAAAUCCAGCAGUAACGCAUUACGUACAUUCUGCCUUAUGGUUGCAAUUGAGCAAUAGUUGUUUGUUUCCAGUUGAACUUUCUUUGUCAACCCCUUUUUCUUUGGGUCGUUUUUACAUUUUUGAUGUUAAAUUUUUCACUUAAAAAAACUAACAAUUUUUAGAUGUCGCACACGUGUAAAUGUAUCGAUCUGAGAUUACAAUUUCCUUCCUUAGAACUGUGCCAGUUCUUGCUGUGAGAUGUUACCCCACUCUUCCACCAAGGCACCUGCAAGUUCCUGGACAUUGAUGGAGCAGUGGAGAGAGUGAUCACUCUCUGAAGAUGCAGAUCCCAGGCUCCAUGCCUCCUCUCAUCCAGGAGAUGGUGGAAAACUCAGAAGGUCUGGAGGGCCAGGGGGCAAACAUCAGCGGAGGAGGGGCCCCACCAGGCAGCUGCUCAGCCCACAGCAGCCCCCCUGCACCCUCCCCUUAGAAGGGGGUCCACCGCCACCCCCCAGUCAUGGACAGCCAGAAGGCAUGACUACAGACGGAGCCAGCACUGAAUAGAAUAACAUUUUUUAUAAAGAACCCUGUCUAUGUGUGUGGGGGGGUCUGUACAUUUCUUAUUGGACCCUCAGUCUAGUUUAAAACAAAUUCAUAGCUUUGCUUGAUGGCGCCAGAGAGGAUGGCUGCUGUUUUAUUGGCUCUUAACCAACUGUGCUAUUUUGUUUGUUUUUUCGCAUUGUUUGUAACUUAUUUUGUACAUCAUGUUGCUGCUACUGCUGCUCUUUAAUGAUUUGUUACUUUUAUCUCUUACUUUUUUAAGGUAUUUUCCUAGCUGCAUUGUUGGAUAAGGGCCUUGAAGUAAGCAUGUCACUGUUGUAUUUGGCGCAUGUGACAAAUACGAUUUGAUUUGAUCAUCGUGUUGUAUGCCUCUCAUAUUCUUGGUUUAAAAAAUCCAACAAAUGGAGUUUGUGGCUCAGUGUUGUGUGCAGGCGCAGUUAAUUGGAAUCGGUGACCAGACCGGAGAUGAAACAUGUUAGUGGGCCAGGAUUUCCUGUUUUCUUAUACCGGAACGUGUGUAGAAGCUCACACGCUGAUCGAUUGUUCUUGGAGGUACCUGUGCCAGAUCAUGUGCAUUUAAAUCUCAAUUUUGGUUAAUCAGAA